rnacentral:rRNA from 1 species
UACAGAGGUCUCAACCGUUGUUCGGAUUCAUUGGGCGUAAAGGGUGCGUAGGCGGUCGGGUAAGUCGGAUGUGAAAUCUCAGGGCUCAACCCUGAAACUGCAUUCGAUACUGCCUGGCUAGGGUACUGGAGAGGAGACUGGAAUUUACGGUGUAGCAGUGAAAUGCGUAGAUAUCGAGAGGAACACCUGCGGCGAAGGCGGGUUGCUGGGCCGACACUGACGCUGAUGCGCGAAAGCCAGGGGAGCGAACGGGG